rnacentral:rRNA from 1 species
GACGAACGCUGGCGGCGUGCUUAACACAUGCAAGUCGAACGGAAAGGCCCUGCUUGCAGGGUACUCGAGUGGCGAACGGGUGAGUAACACGUGGGUGAUCUGCCCUUCACUUCGGGAUAAGCCUGGGAAACUGGGUCUAAUACCGGAUAGGAGCCAUUUUUAGUGUGAUGGUUGGAAAGUUUUUUCGGUGUAGGAUGAGCUCGCGGCCUAUCAGCUUGUUGGUGGGGUAAUGGCCUACCAAGGCGGCGACGGGUAGCCGGCCUGAGAGGGGGGACGGCCACAUUGGGACUGAGGUACGGCCCAGACUGCUAAGGGAGGCAGCAGUGGGGAAGAUUGCACAAGGGGCGCAAGGCUGAUGAAGCGAGGCCGCGUGGGGGAUGACGGCCUUAGGGUUGUAAAAUCCGUUCGCUAGGGAAGAAGCUUUGUGUGACGGUACCUAGAUAAGAAGCACCGGCUAACUACGUG